rnacentral:tRNA from 1 species
GCCGGGGUGGUGGAACGGUAGACACGAAGGACUUAAAAUCCUUUGAGGUUAACCCCUCAUGCGGGUUCGAUUCCCGCUCCCGGCA